rfam:Dehalobacter sp. CF, complete genome.
AUAAUGAUACUUCCGUCCAGCUACAGCCCUGCUAUAGCAGGAUCACGCAAUGGGGGCGGCUUGCAGAGAACCUGGGAGAGGUGAAAUUCCUAUGA